rnacentral:sRNA from 1 species
AGAGAAUCUGUGAACGCUUUCGGAAUUAUGGCGGCGGUGGAUAUCCGAGACAAUCUGCUGGGAAUUUCUUGGGUUGACAGCUCUUGGAUCCCUAUUUUGAACAGUGGUAGUGUCCUGGAUUACUUUUCAGAAAGAAGUAAUCCUUUUUAUGACAGAACAUGUAAUAAUGAAGUGGUCAAAAUGCAGAGGCUAACAUUAGAACACUUGAAUCAGAUGGUUGGAAUCGAAUACAUCCUUUUGCAUGCUCAAGAGCCCAUUCUUUUCAUCAUUCGGAAGCAACAGCGGCAGUCCCCUGCCCAAGUUAUCCCACUAGCUGAUUACUAUAUCAUUGCUGGAGUGAUCUAUCAGGCACCAGACUUGGGAUCAGUUAUAAACUCUAGAGUGCUUACUGCAGUGCAUGGUAUUCAGUCAGCUUUUGAUGAAGCUAUGUCAUACUGUCGAUAUCAUCCUUCCAAAGGGUAUUGGUGGCACUUCAAAGAUCAUGAAGAGCAAGGUAAGUAGAACAUCCAGACCCUCCUAAAACACUUUUUGAUCCUCUGAGAAUGAAGCUGUUUUCUUUAGGAAAAUGGCUGUUGAUCUUUUCUAAGUGUGUUUCAGUUUUUCAUGGGAUGAUGGCUUUGUUGCAGCUGAAAUUCAUGUAACUAGAUGUGGUAAUAAUAGCUUUCACAUAGGAACAGAUGCAAGUUCACUCUGUUAGGUAACUGGUAGUCUUAGUUAAAGUGAUUCAAGAUUUUAAAAUAUUUGGGGCCAGGUGUGAUGGCUCACUCCUGUAAUCCCGGCACUUUGGAAUGCCAAGGCAGGUGGAUCACCUGAGCCCAGGAGUUCAAGAUCAGCCUGGGCAACAUAGUGAAACCUGGUCUCU